rnacentral:rRNA from 1 species
GACGAACGCUGGCGGCGUGCUUAACACAUGCAAGUGGAGCGACGAACCAGGGCUUGCCCUGGGGCAGAGCCGCGUACGGGUGAGUAACACGUGGGUUACCUGCCCCGAUGACCGGGACAACCCGAGGAAACUCGGGCUAAUACCGGAUGUGGUCUUCGGACGAAAGGAAGCUUCGGCCUCCGCAUCGGGAUGGGCCCGCGGCGCAUUAGCUUGUUGGUGGGGUAACGGCCUACCAAGGCUACGAUGCGUAGCUGGUCUGAGAGGACGAUCAGCCACACUGGGACUGAGACACGGCCCAGACUCCUACGGGAGGCAGCAGUGGGGAAUCUUGCGCAAUGCGCGAAAGCGUGACGCAGCAACGCCGCGUGGGGGAAGAAGGCC